rnacentral:lncRNA from 1 species
CCAGCCAGCAACACUGCAUUAUGGGAGAGGUGCCUAUAGCUGUAAGGCUUCCUACAGGGUGAGGAGCUAGAAGUUCAGCAUGUCCCCAGAUUUACCCUACCCGCCAAGCGUUCACAGUAAAACAGUCCUGACGUUGACGUCUCAAAGACCCAACAGCUGAAAGCACCUUAACACGGUAUUAACACUGCAACAUGCUUCAUAAACUGUUACCAGCUGGAAGAGGGGGCGAGCGAGGGGAGGCAUGAGAGAAAGAGACUGAGGAAAAGAAAAUAGGCAUUUCACAGCUGGAAGGGACGGAGAGACCACAGAAAAUUAAAGAAGAUGAAGUUAGUGGGGUUUUUCAUACAAUUGUUUUAUUUGGAGACAAAGCCUUAUACAGAACAAAGUUCAAGCCAUAUAUUGUAUGCAAACGACUGGAGCUAUUUUAUAUUUUCCCUUUCAUUGAAUCUCAAUUUGGAGUUGGACAAAGUUAUAAAGUGGUGCUCUUUUUCUUCUGUUGUCUCAAAAAAAUUUGAAACUUUUUUCUUUAGCAAUGUUCUCCCAAAUGUUUCAUGAAAAUGAAGAACAAGAAGGGGGCGGGGGAGGCAAGGAGGAAGGACUCCAGCAUUCAAAACCUGAAGCAGCUGAACUAAAACAGAUAAAGUAGUCUUAAUUCUAACCAUGACCUAAAUCAGUGUUUCUCAAUUACCUGCAGACCUUGCUAAAAUGCAACUUCUGAUUCAGUAGGUGUGGAAUGGGCCCCAAGAGUCUAUAUUUCUAAAAAGGUCUUCGGUGAUGCUGAUGCUGAUGCUGCUGGUCUGUGGACCACACUUUGAGUAGCAAUGAUGUAGAUUUCCCUGCAUAUUGACAGAAGUUCCUACUGGAUGGAUUCAUUCAAACAAAAGCUGUAAUUGGCCUGUUUUGCUCCAAGGCAUUUAAAGGAGACUUAAAACUUGCCUUAACUCUGUGACUUCUCAGUUAUUUCUCUUUUGCGUACUAUCCGUCAUACGCUUCACGUUUCCUGGCCGCAUUCCACGGGUGUCAUGGAGUAUUCAGUAACUGGUGUUUGAUUAAGGAAGAAGACAGUUUCAGACAGACUGAUCAGAACAUCAGGUAUCAGGCCCGCUAACAAGCCACCACUGGCCACACCUAAGAAAAGCUGGAUGCAAGGCAAGUCGACAUCUCUAGGACUGAGAAGAACAGUGUAUCCUUGUGUUGUGGCAACCAGGUUCUGGGUGCUGAUUCUCGUUCCUGCUGAAUAUCCCUGCAGCGAAAAUACUGACAGCAGCUAAAUGCCGACAUGCACAUGCUAUGUCCCUAACAUAGAAGAGCUGCAUAACUAUAUCAUAUUUCUCAUCUUUAUAGAGCUUUCGUAGACAGAAUAUAUGGAGGAAAAGUUUUUAAUGUUGCCUUUCUGCACAAAAUGAAGUUUUGAAAAAAGGGGGUAGGGGUUCACCUUUAUGGAUCUCAGAUAUGUUGGUUUCUUCCUAUGUUUGCUUUCAUGAUAGAAAAAACUAUUUAAUAGUGGACAUGGGAAAACAUAACCUCGAUGAGAAGCCCUGUUCUCAUGUCUCUUGUAAUUCCAAAGAUUCAGAACCAUAAGGAAGAAAUUCCCCUAAACGCAGUAGGAAACAAUUGGAGGAAACUGGGUAGUAAGAGGGAAAAAUUGGAGAACUGUGGAAAAUGGGAAGAGACAAAGGCUGACUCCACAGGAAUCCAAAUAUUCAGUCUUUUCACUGGUAAUAAAUGUCAGUCCAACUGAGAGUUUGAUCAGAAGUUGUGAAAACUAGCAACUGGUCAUCUGAAUUGGUUUCCCAACCAGUUACUUUGGUGUCAUGUAGUCACAGAAAUAAGAAAGGUAAACCAGGGGAAAUAAAACUGUUGCUAUUUUCUUCUUCUUUAUUGUUAGGAAAGGUUGAUGAAAGAAAGCUGGUACGGAAAAGCUAAGACUACAUAAGAAACUUCUCUUAAACUCACUGAGGCCGCAGAAUCAGAAGAACUUCUCACCAACCCCACAUCACUCUGAGGACAUACUGUUUUCAUAAACGUGGACAGCAGCAGUCACAGGACACUGUCACACGUCUUUCUCCUUAUUAAAACCACAAUUUAAAAGACCAUCACAAACGGACAACUCAAAGUCUAGGUCUAAAGCUGUACCUACUUUUGAGUGAAUGAAUACAUUUUCAAACCAAAACUAUUUAAAAAUAUUAAUCCUAAAUAGAUACAUAUUGGGAGUUACUUUAUUUUUCUGAGUGAUGUAACGUUCUCCAAAAGGUAAUACAGAAUAUAGAAUAAAAGGUAUACUUAGAAUAAAAGCAUUCACUUUUUUAAACUCCCCUUCCCUUAAAAUGUAUCCCUUCUUAUUACUUCUUAAUCCACUUUUUCAAUGAACAACAACAAAAAAAUGUUGGGGGGGGCGGGACACAGAGUAAAAAGUGUCAUUUAACUUUAGUCUUACAGUGACAUCUAGUGGUAGUAAGUGGUAACACCAGCUAAUCUGUUCCAAUUAAGCAUAAAAAUAGAAAUUGCUGCAUUGAAAACGAGCAUCUCCCAUUUCUGUGUAAGCACACAAAGACCUUUCCUGACUCUCGUUUCUAUCACCCUGUGUGUUCUGUAGGGGACUUAAUUUUAUACUGUGUUUAGCCCUGAUUACUGGCUUGUCUCUCUUGUCUGCAUGAGACCACAAAAUACAAGAUCAGGCUCAUAUUUGCUCUAUUUGGGUUCUUUAUCCAAACCUUGUGUAU